AAGGCAGGUGCCAGAGCCGGCCCUGCUCCCGUCCGUGGGGCUCGGCCCUGUGUGGUCCCACGUGGUGUGGCUCUGCGGGGGCCGGCUCCUCCUCUCGCUGCCAGCCCUGCCGUGGGCGUGUCUUCUGUCCAGCGCCGCGGGCCCAGCUGCAGGGUGGACGGACUCAUUCCCUGAGGUCUGCUCAGUGCCCAGACCUUAGACGACCUGUCUGUCCCUGGCCUGGGCAGGGGGACGCUCGUCGGCCACCUCCCCCUGGACACGCGGGGCCGCGCCCUCCCCUCAAGUCUCAGUGACACCACCGUCUGUCCCCACGUCCCUCUGUGACCUGCGUUCGGAAUCCCCGGCCGCUGUGUCCGUUUUUGUCCCAAGAAACAGGAAAAAAAAGAUGAUUUGCUGACGUGGGCGCUCCCUCUGGGAGAAGCUGUGGCCAGGACAGUGGCCCCUGCGGGGGCGCCCGCGGGACGGAGGCGCCGGGGCUCCUGGAAUGUUCCUGACGACCACACCCCGCCCCGAAGUCAGCGCACCUCCACGACCGCAGGCAGAUCUCCUGGGGUGGCACCUGGGAGCCGCUCAGCCAGACGAGGUGAACCGUCGGCCAGACGACGCGAGUCUGGAAACACCUACACUUGGAAGCUGGACAGCGGGGCCGAGGUCGCCCUGACUGCCGGGGACACUGGGGCACAUGUGUCCUCGCCGCCAGGCCGGGCUGGGGCUCUCGCGCAUGCGGCAGCUCCUCUGGGGCGGGUGGGGCCCCCCUCAGUGACCGUCUCUGGCCAGCUUCUGUGCUGAAUAAAUAAGA